CACAGAGCAGGGUGGUGGGUAACACCCACCCGGGGUGACCCGCGGGACAGUGCCACAGAGAACAGACCGCCUCGCCCCUCGUGGGCGGGGUAAGGGUGAAACGGUGGGGCAAGAGCCCACCAGUGCGCCGGGUGACCGGCGCAGCUCGGCAAACCCCACCCGGAGCAAGACCAGACAGCACACGUUCGAGGGCGGCUCGUCCGAGUGUGCGGGUAGGUCGCUCGAGGCUGUCGGCAACGGCAGCCCUAGAUGGAUGGUCGCCCCCUCGGAGACGAGGG
rnacentral:misc_RNA from 1 species